AUGGCCCCUUGCGAAGCUCAGCCUCCGGUUCUCUAUCCCUGCCGUGAUCACCAUGGUCACCACCUGGAGCAGCAUCCCGACCCCGAUCCGCUGCAGCAGCGUGAUCCCCCUCGGGUUCUUGGUGCGCCUCCGGACGGCGGGCACGAAGACGCGGUCGUAGAGCGCGACGCAGAUGAGCAUGGUAAGUGUGAUGAACGCGCCGAGGCUCGCCGGGGGCACCAGGAACGCGCCCAGGCGCCGGUCCAGCGUCGCGCCCUGCUUGACGUAGAGCGUGUUCGCCUGCGCGACGAGCGUGCACGGGACGACCAGGGUGAAUAG
rnacentral:rRNA from 1 species